GUCCCGUUCGUCUAGAGGCCCAGGACGCCGCCCUCUCACGGCGGCAACAGGGGUUCGAAUCCCCUACGGGACGCCA
rnacentral:tRNA from 2 species